GACGAACGCUGGCGGCGUGCCUAAUAAAUGAAAGUAGAACGCAGUUGCGAACGGGUGAGUAACGCGUAGGUAAUUGCAUCAUAGCGGGGGAUAACUAUUGGAAACGAUAGCUAAUACCGCAUACUGUGAGCUGGACCUGCGUUGUAUUAGGUAGUUGGUGAGGUAAAGGCUCACAAAGGCGACGAUACAUAGCAGACCUGAGAGGGUGAGUGUCCACAGUGAGACUUGGAGACGGACCAGACUCCUACUGGAGGCAACAGUAAGGAAUCUUCGGAAAGUGACGGAAGUCUGACCGAGCAACGGCGCGGGAGUGAAGAGGGUUUUCGGAUCGUAAAGCUCUGUUGUUAGAGAAGCGAUAACUAACCGGGAAGGGACGGCUAACUACGUGCGAGCAGCCAAGGUAAUAC
rnacentral:rRNA from 1 species